rnacentral:rRNA from 1 species
GAUGAACGCUAGCUACAGGCUUAACACAUGCAAGUCGAGGGACCGGCGCACGGGUGAGUCACACGUAUCCAACCUGCCCUUUACUCGGGGAUAGCCUUUCGAAGGAAAGAUUAAUACCCGAUGUAAAGGAUGGGGAUGCGUUCCAUUAGGUUGUUGGUGAGGUACCGGCUCACCAAGCCUUCGAUGGAUAGGGGUUCGGAUAGGAAGGACCCCCACAUUGGAACUGAGACACGGUCCAAACUGCUACGGGAGGCAGCAGUGAGGAAUAUUUGUCAAUGGGCGUUAGCCUGAACCGGCCAAGUAGCGUGAAGGAUGAAGGCUUGUGGGUCGUAAUCUACUUUUAUAUAAGAAUCUGUAUUAUAUUAAUAAGGAUCGGCUAACUCCGUGCCAGCCGCCGCGGUAAUUC